GCUGGGAGGAGAGGACAAGGCUGGCAGAGGCUAAUGGAAGACACUAGUUUCCAGUUAUUUGCUCCAUUGGUGUUUCCCAGAAGUCGCCAUAGUAGUAGUUUUCCGACACUCUAACUCAUAAAUACCAGCCUUUGGAAAUCCUGUGUAUAGACUGUUUCUAAUCAACCCAGCGACAGGCCAGCCCUCUGAAGCCAUAUAUGUGGAUUGCUUCUUGUGUGUUUGGCCGCAGCAGACCUGACCUCUUUCAGAAAUUUGGUAAAGAAGCUAUUUUUCUUUGGGAUUAAGGAAUGGGCUGGCAUGAGCAUUUGGUACUGAAAAACAGCAGUGCAUUAGGUCACUCUGGGAAGGUUUUUCUUCACAACUAGAACCAUAAUCUUAAAAAAACUUUAAAUUCUGCAGAAGUUGAUAGGGAUCACCAGAAAAGUGCUGAUGGCCUUUGAAGUGAUGCAGACAAAUGGGACAUUUGUCAAAGGUGAAUCAGGCUCAGCCUGGCCUUUGAACUGGCAGCUGUCCCCCAGCUGAAUGUGAUAUGGAAAAUUGAUUGUCAUGAGUGACCCCAGCUGUGGAAUUGGGGGAUCAGAGAUAACUACAGAAGCAGAAUGGAGAACCUUGGUUCCGGGGGGCACUCCUAUGAAAGAGAAGAUGGACUCAGGAUGGGCAGUUGCACAAACAGACUACGGUAAUAGAAAAGGAAACAUAAAUUAUUUUGGACUGAUUGAUUGUUUGGGGAGAAACUGAGGACUGUACCCAGGAAAGGCAAUCACAGUCUUGAAAAGCCUGGGGCUGGCGAAAGGGCAUGGAAUUAUUAAUAAAUAUAAAACAGCAACAUAA